rnacentral:rRNA from 1 species
UUAGCCCUAAACACAAAUAAUUACAGAAACAAAAUUAUUCGCCAGAGUACUACCGGCAACAGCCCGAAACUCAAAGGACUUGGCGGUGCUUUAUACCCUUCUAGAGGAGCCUGUUCUAUAAUCGAUAAACCCCGAUAAACCUCACCAAUCCUUGCUAAUACAGUCUAUAUACCGCCAUCUUCAGCAAACCCUAAAAAGGAACAAAAGUAAGCUCAAUCACAACACAUAAAGACGUUAGGUCAAGGUGUAACCCAUGGNAUGGGNAGAAAUGGGCUACNUUUUCUACCU